CUGAAGAAUGCUUCUGCAAAAUCACGAGUCUUCAAAGGAGGAAGUUUCUGCCAAAUUGCUGAAGUUUGGAGUUUCCUUCCAUUACCAGAGAUGUUGAUCUCUCUGAAGUGAAGAAAGUGAAGAAACAUGCGAGAAAGUCAAAAGCAAGUGGCGCGUCUGUUGAAGGUUCUUCUGGAGAGAAGUUAAGUGAAAGUUAUGGAUGGACUUUUUUAUCUCUUCCCGAGGCAAAAGAGGUGGGUUUUUGGGAUUAUGAGCAGGGUGUGGUUUUAUGAUGAUUUGCUUAAUUCAG